rnacentral:lncRNA from 7 species
CAGCAUCGCUGUCACGCAGGCAGGGCUGCCGGCUCCCAAAGCCGCCUCCCCGCGAUAACAAUCCAGCUUUCCAAAAAUCAUGGUUCCAUAUUUCAAACUGAAGUAAGGCCAGCAGUCAGUCCAGCACAUCUAUGGCAUCACCAGCAGCUUCUGUAAAGAGAAGACCACUGGGCAAAUGCUACUGGAGCCUUCACAAGAAAGAAGCCACAUCAGUGCUGGGUUGGGAAAGCAGAUGAAAACAUCAAGCAUUCUGCUAUGAAAAAAAAAAAACCAACACCAAAACGCACACUCAAACCAACUGUAAUAUUCUGAACCAUUUCAAGCCAUACAGUUUGCAAUGACAAUUACGCUGGGUGCAUGCUGUUGGAUGCCCUAGGGCACUAGUACUUAAGACAAAAGGCAGCUACACGUGAAGCCUUGCACCAGGACGGAAUCAGGGGUCAUGCACCUGGAUCCAGAAUCUUGGAAUAUCCUGCUGCUUCUAUAAAGCAUACACCUGUCUCAAAUACCCAAUUCCCCUUGUUAUCCCCUUUAAUACACUAACCCUCUUCUGCUAAUAUGGCAGUGUAUAAUUAUUUCAGACAUGUAAAAAAAGAAUAAAUAAAGCACUGAAAUU